GAUGAACGCUGGCGGCGUGCCUAAUACAUGCAAGUCGAGCGAACGGACGAGAAGCUUGCUUCUCUGAUGUUAGCGGCGGACGGGUGAGUAACACGUGGAUAGCCUACCUAUAAGACUGGGAUAACUUCGGGAAACCGUAGCUAAUACCGGAUAAUAUUUUGAACCGCAUGGUUCAAAAGUGAAAGACGGUCUUGCUGUCACUUAUAGAUGGAUCCGCGCUGCAUUAGCUAGUUGGUAAGGUAACGGCUUACCAAGGCAACGAUGCAUAGCCGACCUGAGAGGGUGAUCGGCCACACUGGAACUGAGACACGGUCCAGACUCCUACGGGAGGCAGCAGUAGGGAAUCUUCCGCAAUGGGCGAAAGCCUGACGGAGCAACGCCGCGUGAGUGAUGAAGGUCUUCGGAUCGUAAAACUCUGUUAUUAGGGAAGAACAUAUGUGUAAGUAACUGUGCACAUCUUGACGGUACCUAAUCGGAAAGCCACGGCUAACUACGUG
rnacentral:rRNA from 1 species